GAGGUUGUAGCUCAGUGGUAGAGUGCUUGCCUAGCAUGUGUGAGGCACUGGGUUCAAUCCUCAGCACCACA
rnacentral:tRNA from 1 species